rnacentral:tRNA from 3 species
GCGCCGUUAGCUCAAUUGGCAGAGCAGGGGCCUUUUAAGCCCAAGGUCACAGGUUCGAUCCCUGUACGGCGCA